UUUCUUUCUUCUUCUCUCUAUACGUUGGUGUUCUAACCAAUAAUCAUUCAAUCGCUAUUACGAUUCAUUUUCCGACCGAUCAAUAUAUCCAAUGGAUGUUUAAGUGCCGCCCACAUUAGGGUUAUACUUUGUCGUUUUUAGUAAAAUGAAUGAUUCACUCAGUAUUUCCCGCUGACAAAACCUUUUUAAAACGCGUUUCAGGUAAUUACAAUAGAUUGGAAUAAGGAUUGGAUCCGACACUGAAGGACUUCAAGAAGUGGCUUAUUUUAUUAAUUAAAUCAACUUAAGAAAUAUUGUUUUUGGAUUUAUCCCGUAUUAAAAGCUACCUUUGUAAAAACAUGGAAUUUAUUCCAUCUAUUUAAAUAAAAAAAUCCGGUGUUUCUAAAACUCUGAUAAUUUUCCUAACUCACGGUCCUGAUGAAAUUUCCGCUGCAAUGUUUUUAAAAUAAUCACCGGUACCACUUGACUGCUCGCGACUUCCGAUUCCUGCCAGGAUGGGGUCGGGGGUCGUGACAGAAGGUGUUAGGAGAUUGCUAUUAACUGGUAGCACAUCUGAUAGCAUUUAGACUUGAACAUAAGAAAAGAUGCCUUAGUAUAAACUAAGCCACUUGUUUAGAGCAAGCAGGUGUUAUAAUAAUAAUACCUAAGCUUAAACGGAAAAUUAGAAACUUAAUAUUAUCUGAUAGCACUCUGAAUGAUAUUUAGACUCGAACUUAAGAAUUUUGUCUUAAUAUAAGCUUCAAGAUAAAAUUACUUAUAUAAGUAUAAAUAAGUAUAAUGUAACAGAUAUUGGUAUUCCAUAAAAAUAACGACUAGCAAGCAAUAGCAUUUAAUUGCUAUUUAUUCUUGUUUAUUGAUAUUACUUGGUCAAGAAUAAAAAUAUAUUAUGGAAAUACAAAUUUUCUUGAUUCUGGAUUAAAGCCCUAAUAAAAAGAGACACUUUUUGAAAAGAUACUAUUUAUGGGAAAUAGGAAAUUCUCUCCGGCAAACCUGGGUAUAGAGUAGCAGACUCUCCAGCUUGUCCGGAUAUACUAAAAUUACCGCUCCGGCGCGAACCGGAUAAGACGGGAUAAAUGGUAUGUCAAAACAGUAACAAGAUUUCCCUAAAUAGUAUCAUGACCAAAUAUCUGACUGGUUUUUUUGAAAUAUGAAUCUGAUAAAUACAUUGACCUUAUAAAAGGUAUGUAUAUUACAGCAUGUGAAAUAUUUGAUUAUAUAGAUAUGUAUAAGAAAUUCCAAAAACCUUAACGAUU
rnacentral:lncRNA from 1 species